ACCCAUUAACCCUGAGGCCACCACCAAUAUUGGAACGAUACAGAGAACAUUAGCAUGGCCCCUGUGCAAGGAUGACACACAAAUUCGUGAAACGUUCCAUUAAAAA